rnacentral:lncRNA from 1 species
GUCUCUCUCGUUCUCUCUAAGUUAUUAUUUCUUGUCAACGCUUUGCAAUUUCUCUUAUCGAUCAAUCCGUUAAUCAAUCGCAUCGCGCAUAAAUACCGAGAGUACAUCUCAAGCUCCUUGUCUAACGCUCUGGCUGGCUCUGAUUCUUAACCUUCAGAGCUUCAAUCUGGUGCCAGCACGAGGAGGAAGCUUUUACAUAGCUCGACAAUCUGGGAUGCUCUUUGAUCUCAAGAAGCCUCGGUCCGGGGGUCUGUCCUACUGGCUACCGAAACCUCCCUGCUCGGCAGCGCCCUUUCUUGGCCCGUUAUAUCAAAUCCUAUCCUCGGCAUACCCGCCGACGUCGGCUGCCACGGCACCGAGUACGCCUCCGCAUUUCGAACGCCUCAGCAUUUCGAAUCCGAAUGCCACCCAUGAUGAAACUUCCUCCGUCUCUACAGAGACCUGAUGAUAAAACUGUUUUACUUUCAAUGUUCUAGACUCUUGUUUUAUUUUCAAUGUUUUGUUGCACUACUUUUGUGAAUACGUAUUGGAUUCAUGUUCGAAUCCAAGUUCAGCAUAUGUCAUACUGCUCUUAUGAACUGAACUCAGUGGCAGGGCCUUCUAAUUCUCGUGGUAAUAUACUUAAUGUUUCAUGACAUUAGCAGUGAGGAUGUUAAUAUGAUGGAUAAACACUGCUCCUCUCGACAAUACCUCGCCCAUGCUUCUAGAGGAAAUAACUUUUCUUUUAACAUACAAGUUUUAUUUCAUGACUUUAAUAUAGUACAGAUAAUCAUGAGUUAAGAUAAAAAUAAAUAGGGAGCAAUUUACAUUUUGGCCGCCAUCGGCGAAAUGGAAGGUAGACAGAUGACUCUAGGACUCUCUACCAACGAAUUCAGCGGAGCGAGCCGGUCAUUUGACAAGUUGAUUAUGACAUUUUCAGAUAAAUGCAGGAGAAGCGUAUCCUUUUUUUACACCUUUAUUUGAGACUUUGCGGGGCUCCUCCCUUGCAUUGACCGUGCUUAUCCAGCGUCGAGAUUGAUCCGCAUUUGUCCAUUUCACAAUCAUAAAGUGCAUGCAAAAUGGACCGGAGAAGUACUGCAUUACUGUGAUAGUAAAUUGCAGGACUGUCUCCGCCGGUACUUGUGGAUUCAAUCGUGCAAGAAGGGGGGACACCAUUUGCUUCUCAUCAAGCCCCCAACCGUACUGAAUGACCAUUCCUGUCGCCAUCCGUCACAGGUUAUGUAUCUUAAUAUAUAUGUCUACAUGUAUUCACCUUUCGCUGUGAGAGUUUUCUCAUGAAAGGUAAUCUAAGGUAGAGAACAUCGACAAACUUCUCAAAGCAUAAUGUUACAGGACCAACCUCUUGAGUUUGCUUCAGUUCGGAAGAAGAGAGAAAAUUCUUCCCCGGGAGGAAGUAGAAGCUGUGAAGCAACAUCCAAACCAAAGCAAAAUACAAGCUACUUUUCAAGGUAUGAUCUUAGUUCUGAGUUAGCAUUAACAGAGCCUUCACUCCGUGCCUCGGCGAUCUUUGUACAGCCAAUUCCCUGCAAGAAAGGGGUCAAAGUGAACGUCUUUAUAAGACCAAGGGCUCGAAAAUCCCAUAAGGCAUGCAUCUGCAAAUAACUUCUCCUGCGAAGAGGAGAACAAGAACAACCCAGGACACAUGUGGAUACGCUCAAUGUAGCACAAUGAUUAAAUUAAAUCUGCCAAAAUGCUCCAAUGACAGAUAAAGCCAUAAAUAGACAUCUCACGUCAUUGUGUUCGACUGUUUUGAUAUCCCGUUUCAUAUUAAACUCUUGAUCCUUAGAUACGACGGCAAGGAUCAUGGCCAACAAAAGCAUGGGACUGAUUCACUGAGUGCCCAGAUAAAGAAGGUAAUUUAUCAUGUCAAUAGCAUGAAUGGAUGACGGUACCACUGAAUGAAAAGUUCGAUAACGAACAACAUGCCAAUGCACAUAGCUUGAAAAGUGCCAGAAGGAAAAAGCACAAAAAAGAUUGAAAUGGCGAGCUGACAUCCAUGAAGGAUGAUGACAUUCCCUGUUCAGCAGUAGAACAGGACCCCUAAAAUAGGAAUAAGGCACUUGCCGGUACUUGCUCAUGAGCUUAAUAAGGCGCAUGCUAUUUCAUUACGAGAAAGAAAAAGAGGACAAUAACCUGCCACGUACAUGGUUCAAGCCACAAAUUGUCGACAACAUCAGAGUUUGAUAGUCAAAGAGCUAUAAGGCCAUGACCAGCCGCCCAAACAGCAUGAGGGAACUUGGUUUCCUCUGUCCACUUUCAAAUCGUCCAUAUUAUGCAAGUCACCUCAAAGAAACCAACGGAACUUGUACGCAUAACGAUAUCAUCGUUUGCUCGCUGGUCCGGGUAUAUCAAGUUAGCUAAAAUUUUAGAACAAUGAUUCUUAUCUGAUAACCCUACCACCUUCUAUUUUUAACCACUGAAUUUGUUGUACUCCCGAUUCUUUAGAGUGCGCAAAAAAUAAAACAGCAGAAAUUUAUAGAUUAGAAUUUUGUCAAUUUUUAGAAUUGUUCGGAAGACAAUAGCCCGGGAUAGUCCAACAAACUAAUAGUAAGCAUCAAGGAGAAUUAAUUGAGCAUAACUCCAUUGUUUAUUUGGCCGUACGGUUCAAUUAGAUCAACGACAUUCUGUGUGUCCUCCUCAGUCAAUGUCAGCCCCAGAUGAUUCACCAGCAUUCGGCUAAUCUGCCUCACAACUUUCGUUUGCCGAAUCCAUUUAGGAACCAUAUUGCUCAAGGCCUAUGCAAAAUAAUGAGCGAAUAAUAUGCAUAUGGUAUAAAAUAUAUCACAUAAUGGGUAACCGCUCCAACCUCCAAAACUUCCAUUUUUACUCUCCUCCGAGAAUGAGAUUAGAGCACAAAGUCCCGGUGCUUAUUGGUUUUAGCAAAGAGAAAAUGAUCGAUUCAAGCAGAACUGAAUUUUGCUUCCCCUUACUCUUCGUCAAUUAUAAUUUAUGUUCCCUUUCCUCUGAACAAAAGAAAAAGGGACAUGCAGCCAGUUCCAUGGACCCCCGGGAAUCGGAUCGGGCAAAUCCGAAUCCAAAGCCGAAUAGGUUGGUUCCCAAUUUCACAAACUAGGACCCAGCCCCGUCUGGUCAAGUUCCCGGUUCCGGAGUGGGCCAAUUUAGCUCAGAAUCUACCCAUAAUCGGGUUCAAACAGUUCAGAGAAAAUUCAAAAUAACUUGGAAUUACCACCGCUCAAAGUUAGAAAAUCAAUCGUCAAAAAAAGUUAAAAAAUCAACAUCCCACUGAGAACCUUUCAGAUCAUCAUGUAACGUCAACUGAAAACACAUUAGAUCAGAUCUAACGUAUUGUCUUCACUGACAUGUGCCGACUUUUGCCAACAAAUUGGAAGACGUUUAAUCCCCUUAAUCCCCUCGAUUUCUUCCUCGAUUCAAAAAUCUUCAAUCGGAAUUUAACUUUAUCAAUUCGCAAAGUUUCCAAAUCCAAUGGGGUGUCGGAACUUGUUCGGAGGUCUUGUGAGCAUGCAUCAAUCCCCGUUAGAUAUCAGAAUGAGGAGUCCAACAAGAGAAUACAGCUGAAAUCCAAGCGCCUCAAUUCUCAAGUCAAAUAUAAGCUAUCCAGAACUGCAAAUCCACCAGCGACUCCACCUUCAUGUGAUGAUGAUAUCUUUGUUCUCAUUAAAUAACCACACUGUUCAUUUACGAUGACAUUCUCUUUCUUCCUGGUAAGAUCAAUCUCAGAUUACCAUGAGCACAUCAAAUGCAUUUACAAACAUUGUCGCUGAAUUCACUAGUGCUAACACGUGCGAACAACGGUGCUGUAGAAGGCAUGAAAUAAAUUAAAAACAGAAGCUUUGGUUAUCAGAUUUUCCCAUCCGACUCCAACUGCAAAGAUUAAAUUCCAAGUCAUUGAUUUUAAUUAAUCCGAGAUCACAUCCAUCAAACUAAUGAGAGAUGGAGCGACAUCAAAAAAUUACCUCACAUAAGCACCAUAUACCCCGAGUUCUGACAUGGCGUGAUCUUUAUAACAAAUGCCAUCACGAAUGAGAGUUGUGGGAGAAAUGGACGGAAAAAUUCUUUGCAUAAGGAUAUAGGCAGCAUCCUCCUCACUACCUUCACGUUGCAGCCUUAAUAGGGUUUCUCUCACGUCGUCGCCAUAGAUGUUGUUCCCUAAAGAGAGAAAUGACUUCAUUUUAGAAAGAAGAUAGCGCGGCUUAUAACAAAGCAAUCCUUGAAUAAUAUAAUCAAGGUGAGAGAUAAUUACCUCCCCCUUCCCUCUGGGGCUUCAUGACAAAUAGCUCGGGACUUUCAAUUGCUUUACCAACAAUAUGAGGGUCUUCUAAGCUCCAUAAACCUGCAAAGGAUUUCUGGAUCUCGGCAAUGUCUUCUUUGUUCUCAAGGAAUCUGAUAUAUGCACCAAUGGAGUCUCGUAAGUGAUCAAACACGUAGGAGAUAGAGUCUAUUCGACAGUGCAUCUUCUCCUGUAAUUAAAUUGACUUCUAAUGUUCCCAUCGAUAUGUUAUCGAGACUGUUCGGUAAGACAUAUGGAAGGAGCUAAAAUGGCCAUUUGGUAUUAAAAGUAGUCCUUAAUUCGCAGUCCUGGGUGCCAUUGAUUACAUCUAAGCUUCAAACUCAACUAAACAUCAUCAUAUUAGCUAUUGUUGUAUGCAUAGCACACAUCUAUAUACAUUUGUGCUUCAGGAGUUUUUCCAGGAAUGGUACGAUUCCAUAUAAAGCACAGAGGAUGAAGAAAUGUGAUCUGUUGAACAAAAUAUAUCACCUUUCAAGUACAUUAGGUUUUGCAAGUUCUUGCUGAAUCUUUUUCGUGCCGGCUAAAUGAUAAGAUAUGGAUGGGCACUUAAUUGCAGAUGACUCUUCCGUAAGUAGCCUUGCUCUCCAUUCCUACAAUACAGCAAGAAACAAAACUUAAGUCACACCUUUCAAGCAUUGACCCAGGGCUUAAGAUUUCCGCACUUCUUACUAUUUUAUAACAUAGGGUUUUCAAGUGGCACUAAUUUGACGCCUGUCAACUUCUUGAGGUUGUGUGAAGAAUGGAUUUCAUAUUUCCUCUUAUUGGUUUCUUUCCAUUCCCUCUGUUUACUUACUUUGUGGAUAAUCAUUUAUUUGCCUUCCACCCAGAAAUUUUUUUAAGUUGAUGAUAUUUUCUGGAACAAAGUCCACUUUUUCCAUAACCAAUUGGACAAACUUGGUUAUUUGGAGGAAAUGUCAUGAUUACAUUGUUUAGUAUUCUUUUACAUCGCAUAAUGCUAUAUGUUUUGAACAUGAAGUCAAUUGUUUAGCCAAGCUUGGCUUACGAAUGUUCAUAUGUACAUUAUCAAGUAUUGUUCAUUGUGGCCAGUCUCAUGGAAUUAUGAUAUAGUAAUGAGGGAAUCCUAACAAUCAAAAUGUGCAGGAAAUAGAGAAGUAUAUUAUAAUCAUGAAUCUAACAGAAAUAAUCGACUUGCAUAAAACAUCAUGAUGAUACUAAUAAUUGUUCUAUUCAGUCAUCAAGACAUAUAAAAGCGAAUCUUUAUGAAAACUAGAGUAAGGAUGCAGUCACUAUAACAUUGUAAGAAAUGCUGCCACAGAAAUAUUUUAUGAGAAGAAUAAAACCCGCCUCAAACGCGGGAUUUUCACUAGUAUGGUAAUAAAACAUAUCUAUAAAGAAAGCAUCUGGUAAAGCUAAAAUGGAAGGAGAAAUUUUCUGAAAAUUAAUCACAGCUACAGUCAAUAUUUCAAGGAAGACAAUCUUCUCUUAGUUGCUAUUAGCUAAUUAUUAGGAUAAGGCUUAAGGAUGUACCGAUUCUGAAGGAUAAUCAUUUGGGGUAUACCCGGCUCUAAAAUAAAUAGCUGCUACAGGGACUCCACCUCUUGCAAUAGCAAAUCUUCAUUAUGUAAGUGAAACGUGCAUGUAAAGCCAAAGUUCAACAAGAUAAACUAGAGAUGUCAGCAACUACAUACACAAGUAACGUCCCAUCAGGCUGAAGUUCCCCCUCUGCAUCAAUUUCUGCUAAGGUCUUCCGAAUAGACCUCACAUUAUGUGUGUUAUAUAAUUAAGGAAGCAUCCAAAGCAAAUUAUGGACAUGAAGAGACUGAUGGACAGAAAUAGAGAACUUUAUAGUUUGGAAAGCAGAUUUUUGGACGCAGAGCAUCAUAGCAGAUAGAUGUAGAAUCCAAGAAAUGAUCUAAGAGAGACAAAGAGAGAUAAUCACAGAUAUAACCUACCCUUCUGAUAUCUCAAAACAAUCGCUAGUAUAUAGAAGGAUAUCUUUCGCUCACGACAGAGCUAAGCCAGUGCAGGUCGUACAUAUUUCGUUCCUCUGUCUGAACCACAACCAGAACAGUGGCCCUGUUAAAAGUAAUCAAUUGUAAUCAGGUCUUAAUGAAAUAUACUCCACAUAUGCAGACCUAUGAAUAAAAAAAAGAAAAGAAGACGACCAUAAUUAUUUUGCAAUUCUUACUUUGGGUUAUUGAACUCGAUCCAAGCUUUGGCCAAGGCCUCUGCAUAAUGACUCACAGCAGCAUUGGUAGGGAUCCUCCUGGGAUCUAACCCAAGAGUUUCGCCAUAAUGGCUGAGCAAGGACCCGUGUCAUUGCCACCUGACGUUAAGAUCAAGCUUUUGGUCUUCUGUGACCAUCUUUGACCGUGCAUGUGAACAGGUGCGUAUGGGCUUAGAGAAAUCACAGGGAAUGUAAGAGUCAGUACAUAUGACCAACCUAACCUGUGGAGCUCACUAACAAGACAGCCAAGACCCGGAAAUGAGGAUGAUAUGGUGUUCAGUUCUAUCUGAAGCAGUAACUUCGUUUGUUCAUCAAGCGUAUAAUCCGAUUGAUGCAAACCCAGUCGUAUCUCCUGUGGAGAAUUGAGAGAGCAAAAUUAUGGGGUUUAGCACACUAAUCAUAUUCAGCAAUCAGCAUAUUUUUCUUCCAGACGAGGAAAGCAGCCAAUCAAAGUGACAUGAACUUGAAAAGCCAGUUUUAAUACACUAUUGCAACCAAACUUAAGGUAAAGCUUUCACAAAAUUCUAAAUUUAUGAACUUACAUCUUUUUUAUUAAUUUCCAUCAUCUUGGAAUGGAUAUCUACGAGUCGAGAGGUGAAAGCAUCCACCUCUUUUGUUCUGCAAUGAGAAGAAGUUACAUCAUGUAAUUCAACAGUAAGUUCGGACUUGCUUCACCAAUGCGACAACUAAAAGCCGGACUACAAAAAUACCAUUGAUUGCAAGGAAGGUAGAAGGGCUCAUAAUUUCCAAAAUACUAGGUUAUGAGAAAAAUAGAAGAGCUAAAAGGAGUUGAAUUUUUCAUAAGCUAAGAAACAACCAAGAGCAUAUGAUACAAGCCAAAGCAGAGUGAGAAUUGAAUCAGACCUAAGAAUUCACAUGAAACAAUGGUCUUAAUCUUCUUGAAUUGGACACUAUAUGCUUAUAGCAUAAACUACAUGCCGUAUUCGACCAAAAGAAGAAAAAAAAAAAAAACUACAUGCUGCAGACAUAUAGAUAAAGCAGAAUAAAUACCUGGAUAAUGAAUCUUGUAAAAACUUUCCAUCCAAACUCACACGAUCGACAAGCUCAUUGAAAAUAGGAGCUAAUUCGCAAGCCUCCCUAAACUGACUCUCGGGAAUGAGAUGGGCAACAAAGCAAACGGAGCAUGCAUCAGACCGACACCAGGUGCUUUUCCUGAUCUCUGCAACACAUACGCAUAAAUACCAUUAUCAGUCAAACUGUAGAAUUAAACAACCCAGAUCAAAUUCGACAGGAAACUCCAUAAACAGCACAUCAGAAAGUCGCAUAUUCCAAGUCAUUGAUUUUGAUUAAUCAGAGAUCACAUCCAUCAAACUAAUGAGAGAUGGAGUGACAUCAAAAAAUUACCUCACAUAAGCACCAUAUACCCCGAGUUCUGACAUGGCGUGAUCUUUAUAACAAAUGCCAUCACGAAUGAGAGUUGUGGGAGAAAUGGACGGAAAAAUUCUAUGCAUGAGGAUAUAGGCAGCAUCCUCCUCACUCCCUUCACGUUGCAGCCUUAAUAGGGUUUCUCUCACAUCGUCGCCAUAGAUGUUGUUCCCUAAAGAGAGAAAUGACUUCAUUUUAGAAAGAAGAUAGCGCGGCUUAUAACAAAGCAAUCCUUGAAUAAUAUAAUCAAGGUGAGAGAUAAUUACCUCCCCCUUCCCUCUGGGGCUUCAUGACAAAUAGCUCGGGACUUUCAAUUGCUUUACCAACAAUAUGAGGGUCUUCUAAGCUCCAUAAACCUGCAAAGGAUUUCUGGAUCUCGGCAAUGUCUUCUUUGUUCUCAAGGAAUCUGAUAUAUGCACCAAUGGAGUCUCGUAAGUGAUCAAACACGUAGGAGAUAGAGUCUAUUCGACAGUGCAUCUUCUCCUGUAAUUAAAUUGACUUCUAAUUUUCCCAUCGAUAUGUUAUCGAGACUGUUCGGUAAGACAUAUGAAUGGAGCUAAAAUGGCCAUUUGGUAUUAAAGGUAGUCCUUAAUUCGCAGUCCUGGGUGCCAUUGAUUACAUCUUAGCUUCAAACUCAACUAAACAUCAUCAUAUUAGCUAUUGUUGUAUGCAUAGCACACAUCUAUAUACAUUUGUGCUUCAGGAGUUUUUCCAGGAAUGGUACGAUUCCAUAUAAAGCACAGAGGAUGAAGAAAUGUGAUCUGUUGAACAAAAUAUAUCACCUUUCAAGUACAUUAGGUUUUGCAAGUUCUUGCUGAAUCUUUUUCGUGCCGGCUAAAUGAUAAGAUAUGGAUGGGCACUUAAUUGCAGAUGACUCUUCCGUAAGUAGCCUUGCUCUCCAUUCCUACAAUACAGCAAGAAACAAAACUUAAGUCACACCUUUCAAGCAUUGACCCAGGGCUUAAGAUUUCCGCACUUCUUACUAUUUUAUGACAUAGGGUUUUCAAGUGGCACUAAUUUGACGCCUGUCAACUUCUUGAGGUUGUGUGAAGAAUGGAUUUCAUAUUUCCUCUUAUUGGUUUCUUUCCAUUCCCUCUGUUUACUUACUUUGUGGAUAAUCAUUUAUUUGCAUUCCACCCAGAAAUUUUUUUAAGUUGAUGACAUUUUCUGGAACAAAGUCCACUUUUUCCAUAACCAAUUGGACAAACUUGGUUAUUUGGAGGAAAUGUCAUGAUUACAUUGUUUAGUAUUCUUUUACAUCGCAUAAUGCUAUAUGUUUUGAACAUUAAGUCAAUUGUUUAGCCAAGCUUGGCUUACGAAUGUUCAUACGUACAUUAUCAAGUAUUGUUCAUUGUGGCCAGUCUCAUGGAAUUAUGAUAUAGUAAUGAGGGAAUCCUAACAAUCAAAAUGUGCAGGAAAUAGAGAAGUAUAUUAUAAUCAUGAAUCUAACAGAAAUAAUCGACUUGCAUAAAACAUCAUGAGGAUACUAAUAAUCGUUCUAUUCAAUCAUCAAUACAUAUAAAUGUAAAUCUUUAUGAAAACUAGAGUAAGGAUGCAGUCAUUAUAACAUUGUAAGAAAUGCUGACGCAGAAAUAUUUUAUGAGAAGAAUAAAACCCGCCUCAAACGCGGGAUUUUCACUAGUAUGGUAAUAAAACAUAUCUAUAAAGAAAGCAUCUGGUAAAGCUAAAAUGGAAGGAGAAAUUUUCCGAAAAUUAAUCACAACUACAAUCAAUAUUACCUCCCCCUUCCCUCUGGGGCUUCAUGACAAAUAGCUCGGGACUUUCAAUUGCUUUACCAACAAUAUGAGGGUCUUCUAAGCUCCAUAAACCUGCAAAGGAUUUCUGGAUCUCGGCAAUGUCUUCUUUCUUCUCAAGGAAUCUGAUAUAUGCACCAAUGGAGUCUCGUAAGUGAUCAAACACGUAGGAGAUACAGUCUAUUCGACAGCUCAUCUUCUCCUGUAAUUAAAUUGACUUCUAAUGUUCCCAUCGAUAUGUUAUCGAGACUGUUCGGUAAGACAUAUGAAAGGAGCUAAAAUGGCCAUUUGGUAUUAAAAGUAGUCCUUAAUUCGCAGUCCUGGGUGCCAUUGAUUACAUCUAAGCUUCAAACUCAACUAAACAUCAUCAUAUUAGCUAUUGUUGUAUGCAUAGCACACAUCUAUAUACAGACAAAAUGAGUUUCAGUCUAAUAAAAUGUAAAGCAAAGCUGGGAGCGCUUCAAGCAUCCAGCGCCGCUGCUGGUGGCGCUGUCCUGCCUUCCUCCAUAUCCGGGAGCCCCACUUUCUCCAGUAGUGCCUGAAACUGGGAUCGGUCCUCCUCCUCCUCCAUCCAUCCUCCUCCUCCGCUGCCUGUCCUUCAUCCAUGGCAUCUGGUUCCGUACGGAAGACGGAAAAUACAAGGGUUGCUCCCUGCUGUGCUGUCAUUUGCAGAAUAAAACUCUAGAGCAAAACACAAAUCAGUAUUCUUCCUAUUCCCAAAAAAAAGGCACAGCAAAAGAAAAGAGAAUACAUGGUUGAAGUUGUAUGGUAGCACAACGUCCUCUUCCCUCCCAUACUGUCCACCAAAGGAGGCGUAGAUGCGUUGAGCGACGUGGUCAACGAACGCAUCGAACUCAUCCAAAUGGAACUUGAAUCUAUCCAAACCGUUCACAAACGCAGCAAUGGCCUCCGGGGUCCCAAGACGGACCCCAUCAAAAUCCAUGCACGCUUCAUCAUAAAAGCUUAUCAGCUCUUGCCUAUCCCUUGCCAAAAUAUCAUGGUAUAACACACCCCAACCUGCCGCCAUGUCUUUGAGUCUUUCAUCAUCCAUACCUCUGUUCUGUUCAAGAACAAUAGGUGCAAAUAACGUACGCAUAAAGAAAAAAAGGAAAAAAAAAAAAAUGGCAGAGCUCGACCUCAUUUCCACAUACUGACCUGUCGACGACGCUCGAAGGGAAAAAGACGGUGGAGCCUCACCGCGAUCGCCGUCCGACGUUUGCAGAGAUUCGACGACGAAAUGAGAGAGCGGGGCGGUAUUCUGUUUAGGAUGACCGAGAAAUGGGUUUUCUCUUCCACCAAUCAGAGUUUUAAAUUUGGGAAAACACGUUUCGCGACGUCGUUUAUACUAUGUAUGCGGAGUUAGAGCAUGGGUGAGCCAAGUCAGAUUGAAAAAAAAAAAAAAUUGAUAAAAUAUUACUUAUUUUGAAUUUUCAACUAUUCAAAUCAAAGUUAACACUUGAAGUGAAUCAAUAAAGCUACAUCUACCACCACCGCCCGGCCACCAAUCUUUCCUUACACGAGAUACGAGAUUCGAGAUUGGACAGGAUAAUUCCUACUCGCCGACAUUAGACAACUCUCAAAUGGAUGAACUGGCAUUGGAUAGAGCCGUCUGAUUGGGGCAUUUUUCUGCUUCUAGGGUUUGUGUGUGGAAAUCGAACUUACUUAAAUUGUGAAGAUGUUUAAACCAAUUCGAAUUUGUGAAAGAUAUUUCUGCUUCUAGGGUUUGUGUGUGGAAAUCAAACUUACUUAAAUUGUGAAGAUGUUUAAACCAAUUCGAAUUUGUGAAAAACACGUACACAUCAGCAUUCAAAGUCCCCCUCAAAUUUAGUCGCGAUAUUUCUAUUAAUCAAGAUAAUAUAUAUAAUGAUUUCCCAAAAAUAGUCAUAAAACUUAUUACAAGGAUACCAAUUCAGUCUAAAAUUUUUCAAUUUGCUUAAUUUAGUCCUAACCUUUUAUUAAGAUUUGUCAAUAGUCUAUUCGAGCAAUUUUAAAUGACGAUAGGUGGUUGUUAGCCAAAAUUGACCGAAAUUGCUAUAUUGGUAAAUCUUCAAAAGUUUAAAAUUGAAUUAAUACAUUGAAAAAUUUUGAUUGAAUUUGCAUUUAUAUAUUAAGUUUGAGACUUAAAAAGAAAAAUCUCAUGUGCAUUGGUGGAGAAUCCGAAUGCGGUGUCAUAUCUUUUCAUUUGAAAUGUUAAUGUUUGAUACGCAUGCUGUGUUAAGCUGUAUAACGACAUGUAAACCAAAGUCCGUACAUCAUAUCUGGAAAGAUUUCGAUCGGCUAAGGACAAAUACCCGGUUAUUAUCCCACAUGGGAAAUCCGCCAACCGCGCGGUGGCAAGUCAAUGAUCUCAUCUCAAGGAUUGACCGCCGAGGUGGCCAGAGCAGCACCUCACAUUUGGCUUUUGUAGAAGAAGAAUCAAAGCGCUUUUCUUUUUGGUAUAUCUAUGAUGAUGAUGAUAUUAUUAUUAUUAUUAUUAUUAUUAUUAUUAUUAUUAUUAUUGAUCUAAUUCUCACGGACUCAAUAUAAUAUUCACACAUACCACGAGGACAUCUAGAGGACCGCAUGCACAUACGUAAGGUAUUCAUUUAUUUAUUAUUGGGUUUCCACGUUGUCUCUUCCUUUUUCUCCUUUUUCUUUUUUCAUUUUUAUAUUCCUUAGAAAUUAGCAGCCCCUUUAGAAGAAGCCUCUAUUCAAGGGGAAGAAAAGGUCGUCUCGGACUCCCCCAUCAUUGAGGUUCCACUAAAAUGACCAUUAAUUCAGGUUUUAAAUUCAAAGAGAUUGUCUCAGGUACCAACUCCUAACAAAAAAAUUAAAUUGGUCUAUACCAUGAUUUUGAUAAUUCAAAGAGAUUGUCUAAGGGAGAACCAUCACUUCAACGGGUUGCUUAUUAAACUCUCUUUUGAACUUAUCGUGGAAUCAAACUGAAUUUCAAAUGAUGACAACAAGAGCAUGUGCAGGUGCAUGGUGCUUGCAUGUAUCUUUGCGAUAUAUGGGAAAUUGGGUCAUUUGCAUGAAAAAGCUGUAGGUGCUUCUUACUUUCUUAGUUUGCUAUUGAAAGCACACGGAAAUCGAAAACCAUGGAGAAGUCUAUCAAGUGACUAAACUUGAUUAAUCUGUAGAGCAUGGCACCUAGAGUUAGGCGUAUUGUCGAUCUUGAAUUUCAACGGGUUGUUUAUUAAACUCUCUUUUGAACUUAUCGUGGAAUCAAACUGAAUUUUAGAUGAUGGCAUCAAGAAUAUGUGCAAGUCGCCACGCUUGCGUGUAUAUUUGCGAUAUAUGGAAAUGGAAAUCAAAAUCGGGCCACUUGCAUGGAAAAAGUUGGAAUUGCUUUUUACUUUCUUAGUUGGCUAUUGAAAGCACGUGGAAAUUGAAAACUAUGGAGAAGUCCAUCAAGUGACUAACCUUGAUUAAUCUGUAGAGUUAGGCGUACCGUCGGUCUUGAAUUUUCCGUAUGCAUCGUGAUGAGGGUAUAGAUAAGGGCUUUGCCUAGUAGAGAGGGGUGUGCACGCUAAAUUUUCAGCAUUAAGCUAAAACAUUCUCCUGUGGGUGAUCUAUAGUCUACUGACGCUAGACGCCCUUCUUUUUUCUUUUUUCUGGGUGUGAAAUUAAAAAGAAAAAGAAAAAAAGAGAAGUAAAACUUGUUAGAAACAAUAAUUAUCAAGUUGGAAUGUAGAAAUCAUGUUCAAUGUAUUGUUACUGUGAUUUAAUAUUUGCUUCUUUUCGUUUCUAAUUUGCUAAUAACUUGACAUCCCUUCUAUAGUUAAAAAGGUUGUGAUAGUUGCGGACGAAGACUUUUGCAUUACAUUGUUUAGGCUGUUUUUUCACAUGCAUUGCUUGUCACUAUAUAGUAAUGAUCUUUUAAAAUGAGCAAUAAACUUAUAUCUUAACCCAUAUUUGAAAAGUUGAGUUAUUGCAUGGAUUAGUUAUAUUUAGUAAAUGGAUUUAAAAUAGUAAAGUCUAAAAUAAUAUGGAUAUUAAACAAACUCACGGUUUACUUAAACCAAUUCACCUCUAUGACUCUCUCUCGCCCUUACUAAUCUCGCAAUCACUCACUCCACGUCCUUACCUCAGUUUGCAGAUGAGUUUUCCUAUAUUAGGUAGAACAUGAAAGCGCUUUAACCAUAUGAAUUAGGUUAGAUAGAAAAACGCGUCAGAUCAUUAUGAGUAUCUAAAUUUGUAUUGCAUAAAAAUAAGUCAAAACAACUUAAAUUGGCCAAAUUAGGUCAAUUUAUUUUUCACUCAACCCAAACCCAACCUAAUCCACCCAUUUCACGAGUCUCUAUAAUACUAAGUAUUAGGUUUUUAUCUCUUGUUUCCAACUAUACAAAUUUUUUUUCUAAAGUAUUAAAGCUCGAUGGUCAGAGUUCUAAUCCUAACCCCGACACAUACUAUUCUUCACGCGUACUUCGAUUUUUGGCAUGCCCACAUUUGUCUACCUUUUCCAUUCUUGUUGUCAUAGAAUCCUCACCAUGUCCUAAAUUGAGGAAUGAAUUAGACUGAAGAAGUAAUUUCGUAGGGAAGUCGACUCAUGCCGUUUGUUCAGAAGAUCGCCUCAAAGUAAAUGGAUUGAUUCGCUUGGAGGAAAUUGAUGUGCACUUGUCGGUGCGUCUAACAUUUUUUUUUUUAUAAAUAUCAUUUGUAUUGAAUGACUAAAAUAUAUUUUUAUUUUUCUAUGCAAAUAUUUAAAAAUAAAUGGUUAUCGAUAAAGAAAUUACUUUGUAUUGAUUAAUUAUUUCAUAAAAUAAGCAAUUAUUUUUAAAAUAUAUAUUUUCAGAUUAUUUAUUUUUCACCAAACAAACGGAGUUUGCUUAAUUGUUCGAUUGAUGCUAUUGGUGUUUCUUUUCAAUUCAAUCGCCUCGUCAACAAUCUCCUCUGACCCCUUAACGAACCCCUCUCUCUCUCUUCAAUUCCCUCACCUCCUCGCACGUACCCCGCCCGCAUUGUCUCCUCCUCCUGCAAUUGCCGUUUUUCCAAUUUCACCGCCUUCAUCGCCACCUCCACCUCCUCGAUACGCCCCUCCCCUCUCCUAAUCUCAUCCAUCCAUCUCAGAACCACCGAAACCUUCUCCAGCAAUCUCUCCGUGCAAUUCCAAUACUCGUGCCCUUUCACUUCCGACCGCUCCUCAAUUCUCUCCAAAUUCAGCCGUAGCGGUGGCGAAGAAGGGGCUGAACUGGAAAAAGAAAAAACAAGGGGGGGCUUUCUAGUCUUUUCAGCCGACAGAGAACCGGUUUCGGGUCGGUCGGUGGAUCCGGACCCGAUGAUUCCAAAAUAAAAAAGAAAACCCUGGAAGCCCUAGAGAAAUUGUCUCCAGUUCACACAGAUCCAGCAGGAGGAGGAGGAGGAGGAGGAGGAGGAGAGAUGUCGACGAUCGGUCCAGAAGACGUGACAGAAGCGGAAGGAGGAGGAGGAGGAGAGAUGUCGAUGGUGGGUCCGGAAGAAGACAGGGAUCCGAUGAUAGCGGAGGCCAAGCGGUUCGUGGAGAACUACUACAGCACGUUCGACGCGAACAGGGAGGGCUUGGUGAACCUGUACCGGCAACGAUCGGUGCUGAAAAUCGACGGCCGGAAGAUCCAGGGCAAGGAGGCUAUCCUCGCCAAACUCACCUCCCUUCCGCAGCCGUGCCACCACGAAUUCGCCGAGGUCAGUUGCGGCACCUAUCGCUUGGCACCCGCAUCGGCAUCGGUCGCCGUGUCCGUCCUGGUCGGGGGCGGGACGUGGUUAGGCGGCAAGAAGGAGGAGGCGGACGCCGCCCUUAUACAGCAGGUCUCUCUCGUUCUCUCUAAGUUAUUAUUUCUUGUCAACGCUUUGCAAUUUCUCUCAUCGAUCAAUCCAUUAAUCAAUCGCAUCGCGCAUAAAUACCGAGAGUACAUCUCAAGCUCCUUGUCUAACGCUCUGGCUGGCUCUGAUUCUUAACCUUCAGAGCUUCAAUCUGGUGCCAGCACGAGGAGGAAGCUUUUACAUAGCUCGACAAUCUGGGAUGCUCUUUGAUCUCAAGAAGCCUCGGACCGGGGCUCUGUCCUCCUGGCUACCGAAACCUCCCCCCUCGGCAUCGCCCGUUCAUGUCUCGUUAUUUCAAAUCCUAUCCUCGGCAUACCCGCCGACGUCGGCUGCCACGGCACCGAGUACGCCUCCGCAAUUCGAACGC